ensembl:lncRNA
AUGGCGGUCUCAUGCGAGCCAGUACAUCAACUUCAACUUUCCUCAUUUUCUAAAUACACGAAGCCUUCAUUUUCACGCAUGAUUAAUAACAAAUGGACUGUUAUCUUCUUGGGGACGGCUGGCCAAAUACGACAGGAGACACUACAAGAUUCGAUAAGCAGCCUGUUUAGCGAUAGUGGAGGGGUGAAUGAAAGAAAGCUUGGAAAGAGAGAUGAAGCAGGGACUAGUCACACUCUACAUGCGCUGCAUGGCAUAAAGGAGCAGAGUGCGCAUUUCCUGAUACGUGCAGACAAAGUGUGGCAGUUUGAAAGCUAUUUAACACUGAUUGGAGCCCUUUCUGCUCUUCGCCAGAGAGAAUACCUCUUCAGGUGCCGGUGUCGAGCAUCUCUGAUACACGCUGCGCCUCCUCCAUGCUACGAGACCCUCCCCUGAUCAGUCAAGGUUGACAGAGAAGGCCUUUGUGCGACACUCCAAGGAACAGAUGUCUGCCUGAGAGAGCAGUUCACCUGGAGCCGCGCUGGAUUACCCAUGGCCUCGCUUUGAUGGAUUAGCAUGUAUGGAAAUUGCCCGAUUAUUGAUAUGAAAAUAUUUGCAAACGAGGGGAAACUGGUGAUGUGAGGGGUGAGGGGUGCGAAGACGCUAAGAGAGCUUAUCAGCCUUCCUUCCAACCUUGUCCCUCGCUUCCUACAGAAAGAGGAAAAAAGAAGAGGGGUAGAAAAGACAGAUGAGGGCAUAAGGAGGAGAAAGAGAGCUGCUGUGUGUCAGCGUGGCAGUAUUCAGCUGCCCUUCAUGAAAUAUUGUUCACCAUUAUAUUAACAGAGCUGAGUGGAGAGAGAUAAGAGAGCUUCUGAAAUAGUAAGCAGAAUGUCCUGAGGAGAUAUUUCAAUCUUUAUUCUCUGUCACUCUCUCUCUCUCUUUUUCUCCCUCUCACCCCAUCUUUUUCUUUCAUUUAGGGCAACGGGUGAAUGUGAAAUGUGCCGAGACCUUUAUAAAUGAAGACAGGGCUGGAGAAAUGAUGACAUCAUCAACUCCCACAUAAUUGCUUGAUUUGUCAGUCUGUAAUCUGUAUUUUCGGCAGGGUGGGAAGAGGGGGUGGGGGUUCCCUUCAGGAUCACAAGCUACGCAACCUCUCUUCACUUCCAUUACAUUUUCUUAACUAGCCACAGAGAGAGGGCUGAGGGUUUGCAUGUCUGCAAAAAAUUAUAUCGAUCUUAUGCAUAAUUAUACAGCAUGAGUCAAGGCGUACAAAAUUAUAUAACUGAAAUUACACAUUUGGGAAUGAGAUCAACCAGAGAAAGGCUUGCCAUUUCAGUCUGUUUCACCUCUUGGAGAGGUGAUACUAUGACACCAUGCUGUGGUGGAGGGAGAGGAAGAAGAAAGAUUUUCUAAGGAAGACUUGAAAAGAGUUCUUUAAAGCAGUGAAAAACAAAAAAAAGUAAAAUGCAACAUUUUCAUGACAAAUAUAUAUAUAUAUAUUGUGUAAAAAAAGUGAUUUAAAUUACUUAACUUUUAUAUUCAGCCAAAAUAUCAAUAAGAUCCUAAAUUACGGAAGGAUUUCCAAACAAGGCAGAGUUGCGUAUACAUGUAUCAUAAGUAAGAAAGGAGGAGGAAGUUCAUCUGCACAUAGGUGUUGUUUAUUAUCAAAAAUAGUUUGGAGAUAAUAAGUGGAUAUCAUCUGCAAACCAAGUGAAGUAUCAUUAUCAGAAAAAGUCUUUUAAUGGUUUGAUUGAUAUUGAUUUACAUAUCAGACUGCAUUUACAUGCAGAUGUCCAAAUGCUGAAUUGCAGAAACAUGUACUUCAGAAGCAGAUUCAAGAUUCAAGAUUUUUAUUCAUCAAAUACACGAUUAUAUAGAGAAUAUAUAACCAGCAGUGAAAUGUGAGUCAGGUCCGCUCCAAGGACAGUGCAAUUAUUAAAGAAUACAACACAGAUGAAAAUAUGCAUAAAUAUAGGUAUGAAAGAAUGAAAUAAAAGUAAACAAUAAAAAUAUAAGAAUAAAAUA